UAGAAAUGAAUGCUUAAUUUUACGAUGCUUUGCAACAAGGCAAAAAGAGCAAUUAAACGCUAUGAAAAAAAAACAUUAAGGAAAACGU
ensembl:ncRNA F52E4.11 ncRNA